UCCUGUUCCUGUUGGUGACCUUCUGGUACCAAUGAUGCCUACAUUUUUUCUCCUGAUCCAACCUUGCUCCACCCUUGACCUUAACAUUUGGACUUCUGACUUCACUUACCUCACCCCUACCUUUAAGGACCCUUGACACCAUUCUAUGCACCAGCAGCUUGACCAACACAGACCACCUUGUACCUUUGAGAGAGAUGCCGGCUUCAUCCUGCCACACUGCACUGUCUCUCCAAGAAUUGUCGCUAACCGUGCCAUCCUGACAAGCAAGCCCCUUUGCUAAUAGGCAUCUCCUGGUUGUGUGAUGAUCAAAGCAGCUCAAGGAUGACAGCAGGAAGAAGGGAGGAGGUGAGCUUGCAGAGAAUUACCAGCAGCUUCCUAGAUUACCCCCGGGCCACACUCCUAUGGCUGUCCCUUUGAAGCAAAAGGAUAACAGGGCCAGAAUGCGCUGAGCCUUGGAGGCAGUGAAGGAGGACAAGAGAUUCACCAUACUUGAACUCUGACAUCACAGUUCCAGAUGUGUUUAUAGAGGAGGUAGAAAAAGCAAUAAAGAAGAACAAGGUGAAAAAAAUCAGCUGGAUUACAACAAGCAUAAAUAAAGGAGAUCUGUCCUAGAGAUGACACAAUUGUGAGGGACUUAAGGAAUCAAUGUGUAAGAUAUCUGAAGGAGAAAAUUCUACCAAAAGCAUAAGGAAAAAAUAGACUGUAUUAAUGCUC